rnacentral:lncRNA from 1 species
ACAAAAGUAAAAAUAACUAAAUUAAAAUACAAGGAAUAAACCCAUAAGUUGAGUGAAAUAGAGAGAGUAAUAGGAGAAUUUAACCUAUUAGAGUAGGUUAUGUUAUUGCCCUGCAUAUACAACUCCUUUGUUUCUUGAAAUGUGUUAAAACGACAACUGAAACUGCAAUCAAAAGAGUUAAAAGAUUAAAUUAAGAACACACAACAAAAUCUAUAUCUGGGAUUCUUCUUUGGACUCUUAACAAAUCAGCAUUACAUUGCUUUGCAAGCUCUUACAUUUCUUAUUGCAGAACCAAACCUAAUCCAGUAGUUUACAAGGAUACCAGAAAAUAAAAAGAAGAAACAAAAAAUCCUAUCAUGAUAUGUUUUCUUACAAUUUUUUGUCAUGUCUGGAAAGAAAACAAAGCCUGUCGAGUUAAAACCAUAAAUGUUCCUCUCUCGCUCAUUGUCCAUGUUUCUCUUUAAAGGCUAAUGGAACAGAAAAAAGGCAGAGAAGAAUAUUUGCAGUACAAGUAAGCCAAAUAAUUUUAAAAGAAGAAGAAGAAUAUGCUUGGGAAUUUAUUAAAGUUUUCAUUGAAGAUCGUUUCAGUGUUGUGAGAAUGAGGGGGACAAAAGUGAAAAGUGAAAACUCUUGUCUUUGAAUGGUAUCUUAAAGUGCAAGAAAGAAACAAGGGUUUUUUGCUCUUAUAUUAUGUAGUAUUUGAAUCUCUGUUGGGAUUGUUCUUGUUCUUUAUUACAGCCAAAAAAAAAAAAAAAAGUUUGGGCUCGAAUUUCAUGUCGGCUGCAGCAUUUGCAUGCCAUGAGAGAAUCGAUCCCCUGUCUCACACACACACAUUCAAAAGUAAAAAUAAAAAUAGUCAGUGUUUUAU